rnacentral:rRNA from 1 species
CUGCCCCUGACUCUGGGAUAAGCGCUGGAAACGGCGUCUAAUACUGGAUACUAGCAAACUCCUCAUGGCCAGUUGUUGGAAAGAUUUUUUGGUUGGGGAUGGGCUCGCGGCCUAUCAGCUUGUUGGUGAGGUAAUGGCUCACCAAGGCGUCGACGGGUAGCCGGCCUGAGAGGGUGACCGGCCACACUGGGACUGAGACACGGCCCAGACUCCUACGGGAGGCAGCAGUGGGGAAUAUUGCACAAUGGGCGGAAGCCUGAUGCAGCAACGCCGCGUGAGGGAUGACGGCCUUCGGGUUGUAAACCUCUUUUAGCAGGGAAGAAGCGAAAGUGACGGUACCUGCAGAAAAAGCGCCGGCUAACUACGUGCCAGCAGCCGCGGUAAUACGUAGGGCGCAAGCGUUAUCCGGAAUUAUUGGGCGUAAAGAGCUCGUAGGCGGUUUGUCGCGUCUGCUGUGAAAUCUGGGGGCUCAACCCCCAGCCUGCAGUGGGUACGGGCAGACUAGAGUGCGGUAGGGGAGAUUGGAAUUCCUGGUGUAGCGGUGGAAUGCGCAGAUAUCAGGAGGAACACCGAUGGCGAAGGCAGAUCUCUGGGCCGUAACUGACGCUGAGGAGCGAAAGGGUGGGGAGCAAACAGGCUUAGAUACCCUGGUAGUCCACCCCGUAAACGUUGGGAACUAGUUGUGGGGUCCAUUCCACGGAUUCCGUGACGCAGCUAACGCAUUAAGUUCCCCGCCUGGGGAGUACGGCCGCAAGGCUAAAACUCAAGGAAUUGACGGGGACCCGCACAAGCGGCGGAGCAUGCGGAUUAAUUCGAUGCAACGCGAAGAACCUUACCAAGGCUUGACAUAUACGAGAACGGGUCAGAAAUGGUCAACUCUUUGGACAACUC